GAUGAAGAACGUAGCGAAAUGCGAUAAGUAAUGCGAAUUGCAGAUCUCCGUGAGUCAUUGAAUCUUUGAACGCACAUUGCGCCCUCGGGUAUUCCCGAGGGCAUGCCUGUCCGAGCGUCAUUAUCCAACCAUCAAGCUCGGCUUGCGGUUGAGCCCCGCACCGUCCCCGGGACGGUGGGCUCGAAACAUGUUGGGCGCCCGUGAGGUUGUCGGUGCAGCGAGCUCUCGAGCACGUGCCAGGCAACCGCUCUGGGCGUCGGCCAGCCCCCCCAUUUUCUCAGGUUGACCUCGGAUCAGGUAGGAAUACCCGCUGAACUUAAGCAUAUCAAUAAGCGGAGGA
rnacentral:misc_RNA from 1 species